rnacentral:rRNA from 1 species
AAACCAGCACCUCAAGUGGUCAGGAGGAUUAUUGGGCCUAAAGCAUCCGUAGCCUGUUCUGUAAGUUUUCGGUUAAAUCCAUUAGCUCAACUAAUGGGCUGCCGAAAAUACUGUAGAACUAGGGAGUGGGAGAGGUAGACGGUAUUCGGUAGGAAGGGGUAAAAUCCUUUGAUCUAUUGAGGACCACCUGUGGCGAAGGCGGUCUACCAGAACACGUUCGACGGUGAGGGAUGAAAGCUGGCGGAGCAAACCGGAUUAGAAACCCGAGUAGUCC